rnacentral:lncRNA from 1 species
CCUGACCUCGUGAUCCGCCCUCCUCGGCCUCCCAAAGUGGUGGGAUUACAGGUGUGAGCCACCGCACCUGGCAGGAAAGAUUUUAAAGUGCUUUGAAGUCUAUAUGUCAAACAUAAGAAGACAGUGUUGAUAUAGUAGUUGCAGGAGAAUUACUUUGUUAACCAGUUAAACAAUAUCAUGGGUCAUAUUGAUGUUUCUCUUCAUUCAAGACUGGGCGG